rnacentral:rRNA from 1 species
AUUGAACGCUGGCGGCAGGCCUAACACAUGCAAGUCGAGCGGAUGAAGGGAGCUUGCUCCUGGAUUCAGCGGCGGACGGGUGAGUAAUGCCUAGGAAUCUGCCUGGUCGUGGGGGAUAACGUCCGUAAACGGGCGCUAAUACCGCAUACGUCCUGAGGGAGAAAGUGGGGGAUCUUCGGACCUCACGCUAUCAGAUGAGCCUAGGUCGGAUUAGCUAGUUGGUGGGGUAAAGGCCUACCAAGGCGACGAUCCGUAACUGGUCUGAGAGGAUGAUCAGUCACACUGGAACGGGGACACGGUCCAGACUCCUACGGGAGGCAGCAGUGGGGAAUAUUGGACAAGGGGCGAAAGCCUGAUCCAGCCAGGCCGCGUGUGAAGAAGGUCUUCGGAUUGUAAAGCACUUGAAGUUGGGAGGAAGGGCAGUAAGUUAAUACCUUGCUGUUUUGACGUUACCAACAGAAGAAGCACCGGCUAACUUCGUG